rnacentral:rRNA from 1 species
GUCCACGCUGUAAACGAUGGAUGCUAGAUGUCGCUGGUAUUGACCCCUGCGGCGUCGGCGCUAACGCAUUAAGCAUCCCGCCUGGGGAGUACGGCCGCAAGGCUAAAACUCAAAGGAAUUGACGGGGGCCCCUCACAAGCGGUGGAGCAUGUGGUUUAAUUCGACGCAACGCGCAGAACCUUACCUGGGUUAAAUCCACCAGAACCUUGCAGAGAUGUGAGGGUGCUCUUCGGAGAAUUGGUGAGACGGUGCUGCAUGGCUGUCGU